UACAGAGGGUGCGAGCGUUGUCCGGAAUCACUGGGCGUAAAGGGCGCGUAGGUGGUGGCUUAAGCGUGCGGUGAAAGCUCGGGGGCUCAACUCCGAGUCGGCCGUGCGAACUGGGCUCACUGGAGCAUAGUAGAGGCAGGUGGAAUUCCGGGUGUAGCGGUGGGAAUGCGUAGAGAAUCCGGAAGAACACCGGGUGGCGAAAGGCGGCCUCCUGGGGCUAUGGGCUGACACUGAGGCGCGACAG
rnacentral:rRNA from 1 species